rfam:Anaerolineaceae bacterium oral taxon 439 strain W11661, complete genome.
GGGGAUGUAGCUCAGCCGGGAGAGCGCUGCCUUUGCAAGGCAGAAGCGGGGGGUUCGAGUCCCCCCAUCUCCA